GGCUGCCAGCAGGGCGGCACAGAGCCAGCUCAACACCGGCAGCAGCAUGGCUUUAUUACCGGGAUCCAGAUUGGAAUCUCGCUCUGUUAAAAAGUGAAGUACUUGCAGCCGGUGGAGUCGAUGAGGCAGGACUCAGUGCAUCUCAGCUGACCGAAGGAUCUGUACGACACACAGGAGGACAUUCGCUUCAAGAGCAGCUGGCUGGUCGUCCUGUGGGUCCUCUCUUGCCUGGAACUCCUGGCUCUCCCUUUGGUCCUUGUUCACCCUGAAUAAAGACAAGAGUUGAGGCGGUGGUGGGAAGAGCGGAGGUGGAGGUGGUGACAUCAGACAACAGCGGUCAAACUUCACAGGCUCAUCUGGCAACUUGAGGUCUGGAAGGGAAACAUCAAAACAAGUAUGGGGAAGCUACACACGGCACUUCCUGUUGCCAUGACACAUUGAAACGUCUUACCUGAGUGGGGGGCUGUGAAGAUGCGGUCCAUGAAGGAGUGAUGGGACGUGGCCCAUGCAGGACUCAGGAGAAUGUGGAAAGAUGCUGUAAAUAUUACUAAAUCCAUCCUGAUUGUGUAUUUUAUCCUUAAAAAGAUACAAGUGACACAUUUGGAGGGAGUUGGUCGAUAAUACUACCAUGCAUCAUCUGAUAAGGGUGUCACAUCCCUUAAUAAUAAACACUUUUUGUUACAUUUCACUGCCCUUGUGCAGUAUAUAAUGCAUACUGUAUUGUUAAUUGCAUGCAUGCACUAAUGUAGAUGAAGAGUAUCCCCCUUAUGGCUCAAUAAACCUGUUGCAGCUCAGCAUUGCAGCAGAUGCAAGCAUGCACUGCAGAGACACCCAUGUGCCCAUGACCUUACAGGUACAACACGAAAAACAAAAAUGAAUGUUCAGUAGCACAGACAGCAUCAGUACGGGUUGCCAGAUGUGAUACUUCACUCAUGUUUCACCUUAAAUGUUACCCAUAAUCUCAAAAAGAAAGCAACGUCAAACAUUGUUGUUGUUUUUUUUUAAUCCCAAUGAUCUUUCUUACCGUUUUCUGCAAACUGUAUAAACGCUGACAGGCGCCUCUUUUCCCGAAAUGAGAUGCCCAACUAGCAAAUAAUCCUGAAACAGUCAGGUAUUUUCCUGCCUUGUUCAUUAACGAUGCAGUUGAGAUAAUUAUGCCAAUACCCCCAAAAUAAGCCACUGAAUAACCCAACAGCUGAGCCCAAGACCAGCAGCUCUGCAAGCUCGACUGAAAUGACACAUUUAGGAUGCGACUGGCACUGAUGUAGGGCUGGUGAUGCUGCAAGUGUCUUUUGGUGGGAAAUAGCACCAUCUGCUGGAUAGUUUACUCCUUGCAAGCUGUUUUUUUCAAAAUUCCCCACAAUAAAUUAGUAGUGAUGAUCAGCAUGAUACCAUGCACUGCCAAAUCACU